AACGAACGCUGGCGGCAGGCUUAACACAUGCAAGUCGAACGCAUCCUUCGGGGUGAGUGGCAGACGGGUGAGUAACGCGUGGGAACGUGCCCUUCAGUUCGGGAUAACCCAGGGAAACUUGGGCUAAUACCGGAUACGUGCGAGAGCAGAAAGAUUUAUCGCUGAAGGAUCGGCCCACGUCUGAUUAGCUAGUUGGUGGGGUAAUGGCCCACCAAGGCGACGAUCAGUAGCUGGUCUGAGAGGAUGAUCAGCCACAUUGGGACUGAGACACGGCCCAAACUCCUACGGGAGGCAGCAGUGGGGAAUAUUGGACAAUGGGCGCAAGCCUGAUCCAGCCAUGCCGCGUGAGGGAUGAGGGCCUUAGGGUUGUAAAGCUCUUUCGUCCGGGACGAUAAUGACGGUACCGGAAGAAGAAGCCCCGGCUAACUUCGUGCCAGCCGCCGCCGUAA
rnacentral:rRNA from 1 species